AUUGAACGCUGGCGGCAUGCCUUACACAUGCAAGUCGAACGGCAGCAUGGGUGCUUGCACCUGAUGGCGAGUGGCGAACGGGUGAGCAAUGCAUCGGAACGUACCCGGAAGUGGGGGAUAACGUAGCGAAAGUUACGCUAAUACCGCAUAUUCUGUGAGCAGGAAAGCGGGGGAUCGCAAGACCUCGCGCUUCCGGAGCGGCCGGUGUCGGAUUAGCUAGUUGGCGGGGUAAAGGCCCGCCAAGGCAACGAUCCGUAGCGGGUCUGAGAGGAUGAUCCGCCACACUGGGACUGAGACACGGCCCAGACUCCUACGGGAGGCAGCAGUGGGGAAUUUUGGACAACGGGGGCAACCCUGAUCCAGCCAUGCCGGGUGAGUGAAGAAGGCCUUCGGGUUGUAAAGCUCUUUCGGCUGGGAAGAAAUCGCAUCUCCUAAUACGGGGUGUGGAUGACGGUACCAGCAUAAGAAGCACCGGCUAACUACGUGCCAGCCGCCGCGGUAACAC
rnacentral:rRNA from 1 species